rnacentral:rRNA from 1 species
UACGGAGGGUGCAAGCGUUGUUCGGAAUUAUUGGGCGUAAAGCGCGUGUAGGUGGUUGGGUAAGUCAGAUGUGAAAGCCUUCUGCUUAACAGAAGAAGUGCAUUUGAAACUACUCGGCUGGAGUACGGGAGAGGAGAGUGGAAUUCCCGGUGUAGAGGUGAAAUUCGUAGAUAUCGGGAGGAACACCAGUGGCGAAGGCGGCUCUCUGGUCCGAUACUGACACUGAGACGCGAAAGCGUGGGGAGCAAACAGG